UUAAAACUUUCAACAACGGAUCUCUUGGUUCCGGCAUCGAUGAAGAACGCAGCGAAAUGCGAUAAGUAAUGUGAAUUGCAGAAUUCCGUGAAUCAUCGAAUCUUUGAACGCACAUUGCGCCCCUUGGUAUUCCGGGGGGCAUGCCUGUUCG
rnacentral:rRNA from 1 species